CGAGGGGUUGGGAAGGGAAAAGAUGAGAGCGAGCCAAAAUCCCUCCCAUCCCGCCUGCCAGCAGAGCUCAGCCAGCAGGCAGCCCACUUUCCCCCCCAGCAGGAGCCUUCAUCACACCCCAGCGGGGCUCGGCACUCUCCCUUUGGCUUCUGGAGGUGCCCAGCUCCAGCAGCGCCCCCGGAGCUGCGGGGGGAAGGCACAGCCUCAGCAGGCAGCGCCCGAGCACGCUGGCACCGCGACGCAGCGCAGGCGGAGGGACAGCAGCCUGGCCCCAGAGGCAGGUUUCAUUCAGACUCAGCAGAACGAGGUUGCUUUGGGAGACAACAACAAAGACGACGACAACCACCUGACCGCCCCCGCCAGCGCAGAUAAGAGCCGGGUCACAUGCUCGGGGUUACAGAAUUUGUAAACGCUUAUCUACCGAGGGAGUCAGUUCGGAGUAACGCAGCAAGCAAAUCUGAAGAGCAAUAGACGUCCUGUUCCUGAACAGCCCUGCUCUACUUAAACUCAAUUCCCUGCAAACGUGCUGAGCGGGAGCAAGCAAAGAUUCUUCCUACGGAGAGGAGCCGCGGGACGCUCCUCGUUCCCAGACAGGGCGGCUCCGCCGGCAGAAAGCAGCCCAGGACCUCCACGUUACCUGCAUGUGCAGCAGCAGAGCGCAGCCCAGCACCAGUCGGGCCCCGUGCCUGUGACUGCGAACACCCGGGUGAGCCUCGCAGGCACCGGGGCUGUCACAGGCAGCUGAGCCGGGUCGGUGCCAGCAAGGUCCUGCUCCUCGGCAGCAGCCCCAAGCCAGUCCCAAGCAGCUCGGGAUGCAUCCUGCCCAGCCUCCAGGAGCUUUGAGCCCUCUCCCCAGCGUGUGCCGCAGCAGGGAGGAGAGGGGAAAGGAACAGAUGCAGCAAAGCAGGCAGGGGACACCAGCAAGGCAGCCCACUGCCACUGUGAUUUCUGCUGGAGCUAUUAGAUUUCCCUUCCACUCAACAAUCUCUCCAUCCCCUGCUAGCCGAGGCAGAACGUCCCCUCUUCUCCAGGGCGCUGGAGCAGUACCCAGGGCCCUCCUCCCGAGCUGCCGUCCCCGCAGCUUUUGGAGGCCAAGCUUUCCCCAAGGCGGUCGCUACCACAAAGGCCGCGCUGGCUGCACACGCUGCUCUUUUUCCAUCGGCAGCUUCCCCACUUGAAAGGCAGCCCCAGGAAAUUACAGAUGCGAGUGAAAGGGCUUUGUGUCUCGCGCAAGAAGCCAGUUGCUGGGAUGCAAGCGCUAGAGAGCGGCAUUGUCUGCCUCUGCGCCGAGCCUUCCAGCCCCCUUCCCUGCUGGGCCCCUUCCCUGUGAAGCAGCAGCCCGGAGGAGCCCAGCCCUGCACACGGAUGUGCCGGGGGAGGAGGACACCCCUCUGCGAGCAGCUCGGGGAGCCGGAGGCAUUGCUGCGGGCUGCACGGCCGGGCACGUGCGGCCAGGGAAGCACAGCAGAUCCUGAGAGCUUCUGCUGACCAGGGAGAAAGGAGAAGGCUGGGCCAUGGCACAGGACAGCUGCCGUCUCAUCCGCACCAGGACAUCAGCCAUGCGCAUCGCGUUUUGGCAGGGGACGUGAGCAGCCCGGUGCCCAGAGCCUCAACUGAAGCGGAGACAGAGGCUGCAGCAUCCGCAGCAGCUUACUGGGCAUAAACUGCUCACCGAGCCAGGGCCACCGCGCAGCAAACACCACCAGCUCCAAACAUUUGGCACAGUCAGGCUGCUGCCUUGGAGGGCAGGCAGCGCCCCGCAGGCCUGGGGCAGCCCUGCCCAGGGGCAGCAGGAUGUGGUUCCCCAUCAGCCCCCAGCAGGAAAUGGGGAAACAGCAAAACAAUAAUAAUGAUAACAAUAAUUAAAAAAAAUGUAAACAACCCAGCACCCUGUCCUGUACCACCAGGACACCCAAGAGAACAAGGUAUGUUACAGUCUCAGGGGAGAUGGAGACACAAGGACUGCCCGGCCAACGCGGGGUCUCGUCUCUAUUGCACUUUGCAUCAUAUAUAUUUCUAUAUAUAUAUAUUUAUAAAAAUACAAACUAAAGGGCUGGGGUCGAGGGGAUGAGAUGCAAGCCCCGGGCCAGCAGCAGCUCCAUGCACACGGCAGGUUUCGACCCAUUCUGCUUCUGACUUUCCCUGCGUGCCCUGUCCCUGGAGUCCCCAGCCAGCCCUCCUGGGGGGCAGCCUGCAGCACAGGGCCCGAUCCUGCACAGAUCCACCUGGGGCCGGGCAGAGAGGACAGGGUGCUGAGUUGGUCCAGAGCCCACCCCCCUGCCAGCCUCCCCUCCCAGCCCAUCUCACCCCUUCCUGAGGCACCAAAGAAACAAGCACGCAGCUCUUCCCAGCCACCAGCACCACCCGCACCCCACGGUCACGGGCGCCCCGGCACACUCUCGCCUGGCCAGCAAGUGCCCGUUCCUGGGGGAGGUGGGCGAGACCACAUCUCACACCUCCCUCUCCACCUA